ensembl:lncRNA
CCUGAAUGUAUUGCCUGAAAGCUAUCUAACAUGGAUGCCGUAACAGACAGCUUUGAAGUCAAAGGGAGGCUGGUGAUAUGGUUUCUGUCUGUAAUGCCAAGGACCUGAAGUUGACUGUGUGGCGGAUGCUCUUACAUUGCAUUCUGUCAAACCGCCUUGCCAUUGUCACAACCUUGACUGGGGCAGAGCAUAAGGCCUGUUUCAGGGACUUGUUUCUGAAGACCAUUCUUCACAAAGCCAUUCGGAAGAACCUGCAACCCAGGAUGCCAUGGAUAAGGGGGUCCAGAUUCAGGUCACCCUUUAGCUGAAAGGGGCCUCCGAUUGUGAAGGCGGGAGAAGGCGGCGGACAGGGGAGAGGGAUCGGCUGCAGUGAGGGUCAGCAUCAAGUCUCGGACCACCUAUCUCAAAACCAGCCUCUACCCCCAAGCCACAAGACUGAUCCAACAGCUGAACCCUGGGCUGACUCCUGCACCCUACCACACACUUAC